UUAACUAUUUUAUAGUACUCAGACGACAUAAUAAAAAGAAUGUUGGGGUCCUCUGGCAGGCACGGACCAGCUAAAGCCAGUAGUCGUAAGACAGGCCUGCCAAAGCAACAAAGGUAUUGUAUACAAAGGGUGGGAGAUAUACCCCGAAGGGCAUGUUCUCUGUAAUGAUCCUUCCGCAGCGUGGAAAUACCUGCUCUCUCAAGCAGGAACUCGAUCAUAUCUUAACCCCAGAGGGCCACCUCUAUUUGACCUGUGAGCCCAUUUCUAGGCUGCUGGUAUCACAAUAUUUGUGAAUCCUAGCACAGUAGAGAUGUUGCCUGCUAAGUGCAGACUUGUUUGGGCGAACCUGGAAAAGGGUGUUCACCUACGGAAA
rnacentral:misc_RNA from 1 species